GACGAACGCUGGCGGCGUGCCUAAUACAUGCAAGUUGAGCGCUGAAGGUUGGUACUUGUACCGACUGGAUGAGCAGCGAACGGGUGAGUAACGCGUGGGGAAUCUGCCUUUGAGCGGGGGACAACAUUUGGAAACGAAUGCUAAUACCGCAUAAAAACUUUAAACACAAGUUCUAAGUUUGAAAGAUGCAAUUGCAUCACUCAAAGAUGAUCCCGCGUUGUAUUAGCUAGUUGGUGAGGUAAAGGCUCACCAAGGCGAUGAUACAUAGCCGACCUGAGAGGGUGAUCGGCCACAUUGGGACUGAGACACGGCCCAAACUCCUACGGGAGGCAGCAGUAGGGAAUCUUCGGCAAUGGACGAAAGUCUGACCGAGCAACGCCGCGUGAGUGAAGAAGGUUUUCGGAUCGUAAAACUCUGUUGGUAGAGAAGAACGUUGGUGAGAGUGGAAAGCUCAUCAAGUGACGGUAACUACCCAGAAAGGGACGGCUAACUACGUG
rnacentral:rRNA from 1 species